rnacentral:lncRNA from 1 species
AAGCAUUUGGGAGAAAAUGAAUAGGUUCCGGGGGAAAUGACCAAAAAGAUUACUCAAAUAAGGGAAAAGAUGGCAACUAUGCCGCCCUCCUAGAGCGGAAGUACUUAUGACUACGAAGAGUUCUCCGAACUACAUUUCCCAGAGUGCAUAUGCACAGUUUUUCUGGAGCGUGGAGUGUCUCGGACGCCAGGCGGUCCUGGGCUACAUUGUCCCAGAAUGCAAUAGAGAUGUCUAUUUAGGACAAAAUAUUUGAAAUUAGAUCUCCAAAAUGAAAGGGUCGCCGAAGAAGCGGGGACACACGGACGUUCAAACAAGCUUUAUUGGGGCGGCAGUCUGCAGCCUGCCGGGCUGACUCACAGAAUGGAGACCAGCAACUGCAUGGGCUGAGCUGGAAGCUUAUAUAGGGAUCUUGCAGGCAGCGGCACCACUGAGCUAAACCACCGGCCCAAAGGAUGCAGCAACAAGGCACCAUCACAGAAGCAGAAAGCAGCCCUUACCAGACACACAACCAGCCAGAGCCUUCAUUUUGAACUCCCCCACCUCCAGUACAGCGAUAAAUAAAUUUCUAUUGUUUAUAAAUUACCCAGUCUGCGAUAUUCUGGUAUAGCAACACAAAUGGCCUAAGAAAUAAGGUUAGCCUUUGAUUGGUGUCUGGGUACCUGGAUUUGGGGAGGAUUUCCACACUUUCUUGAUAAGUUACUUACAAUGCCUAAGCUAUUUGUACAAUGUGGUUGAUGCUGAAUACCAGUUGUCCUUUGGGGAGUCUAGAAUUUUAGAAUGAGCUUAACAGAGGUUGCCUAAGUCACCAUUUCCUAAAAAGAACCUAGGUCACUAAGACUCUGCUGAGAUUCCCUGGUAGAUAUUUUUCACAGAUUUUUUUUUUUUUUGUACCAGGGAUCAAACUCGGGACCUUGCGCUUGCGAGGCAGGCUGCGGAACCACUGAGCUAAGUCCCCGGCCCAGAUUUUUACAAUCUAAUGCUGAACUAACUUAGUAAAUCAUGUGUAACAGGCAUAGGACUCUUGCAACCUUGCACCUGAUUUUCCCCAGACUACAUCCAAUGAGCAUUUUCCCUUUGCUAGUUUACUUUGUAUCCUUUCACUCUAAUAUCAUUAUAGUGAGAUAUCAGUCAUGAGUAUGAAAAAAUAGGGUGUCUUGAGUCCUCUUUGUGAAUGACAGAAUGUAGAGGUGGUCUUGGGAACAACUCAUGCACCAUGCAAAUUGAGACAGCAUGAACCUUAAUAGGUACUGAGCAUUAUGCAAAGAGAUGCUCCCGAAAAUCAAGUGGGGGAACUGGUCUCCCGACUAGAUGUAACUGAUCGAGUAAAGCUCUUUAUUCAACUACACUGAAAAUAUCACAAUCAUGUCUAAGUCAUAUGAAAUGACAUCCAAACCCACUUUGUCCUUACUGGCUCCACAUUCCAGGGAAGGCCCACUGCUAUUAUGCUAUGCUAUGUCCUCUCCUUACUCAUACCUUUCCUUCAGGGAUCUUAUUCUGGAAUCCCUCCACAACAUAUGGAUCUCCAUUUUGUUUCUAUUUCCAGGAUAUGCCUUCUCCCUGUUAUGGAUUGUAGCAUGCCUUAACUGCAAAAAUAGAGUUGUUCAUACUCAUCAAUUUAUCUGCAUAGCCAAACAACCAGAAAAUUAUGUGCAUUUGCGCAAUUAGCUUCCACAGCACAUUAUUUAAUUCUGGGAUCUCCUGUCCCACAUAACAAUAUGAAAUGAUCAUAUUUUGAGGCUCUACUUGUAAGGGAUUAUUUGGUACUUUUUCAAAUACUAUUGUACAUAAUUUAUUGCUUUAAUAACACUGUUCAAUACAAAGCCAAAACAAUUAAUGAAAUUACAAAAUGGAAAAACUACCACAAAGUGCUCGUUGCUAAAGAAAAUUAGUAAGGAAGAGUAUCUCUUUACCCAUUAUCUUAUGCAUGUAUACACAUAUAGACAUAUACUCACGAAGAUUUAAGUUUGGAUCUGCUACAAAAGCUACAAUUUAUGAUCUUACAAAGCUCACAUUAUAGAUAUUUUCCAUUUCUCCUGACAUUAUAGAUAUUUUCCAUCAUUUGAAUGGCUUCAGAUUAAUAACAUAGGAAAUAUAUAUAUUUAUUCAUCAAUUUCCUACAGAUGAAC